UCUCUUUUGCGGGUUUCAUUGCUUGGUAUAAAUCCCCAGGCUGAAGCGAAUGAAGCUUCACUGGGGAGAAGCAGUGUGUCUUAUCAUAGGACUGGGCAGCUCCCCGCGCAAGGUGUCGCUGACAGGGCUUGGCUUUUGCCAAGAUGAGCCCAAGGUAGGAAGCUGCGCCCGUGUGUGCCCAUUCGGCGUGUGCACGCGAAGCCUGGAAGGAUUUUCUAUGGAUCCACAAACUGGAUUUCCAAGGAGGAGCCGGUCUGAGCACACGCCGCUUCCAUGUGCUAUGCAUGGCCCAUCCCGCCAGGAGGCUCUGAGGGAAGGGUCGCAGCUGCUUGAGCUCUGCCCGGAGCUCUGGGCCGUGUGCUGGGCAGAAAGCUGAACGGAGACUGAGACAGAGAAGCAUCUAGAGACGUGUAGAGGAGCGCGCCUCUCUCCACCCUCCUGGGGGUCUCCUGGAUAUUUCUGAGAGUAAGAGUGUCUUCUCCCAGCAGGCAGCCAAGGCUGUCUCCUUUCCUCCUUGUCUAGUGGAGUUUCCUAGGUGCAGAAGUUUCCCAGGAGCAUUUGGGAGCAGUCUAAGGAAGAUUCACUCAGUCAGAAGGGAUGGAAUUAAUAAAUGAUUCCCUUUUUAACUCGGGCUGGGCCUCAUUCGAACGCCUGUUUUCAACUUGAGCUUGACAAGGAGUCUAAAGCUCAGAGAGGUGCAGAACUUGCCUGCAUGUCACGUGGGCCCUCGCAUUUCAGAUGCACUCAUCUCAGUGGCCCAGCGGGAGGUGAAAGGAGGUAGGUUUCUCCUGGACUCACAGGUGCGAUUUCCAGUCUGCCCUCUGCCCUCACUAGCUGUGCCUCCCCGAGCUUCAGUUUUCCCAUCUGCAAAGUGGGUGUUAUGAGCAGUGGGAGGGAAAUGGUGCGUUUCGUUUCCUGCGACAGGGUGGGCGAUGUGGCUGAUAGUCACGCAAACGGUAAGACAAUACAGAGCUGAUCCCUGGGCUGAGCCUGGCGGAGAGCAGGUCCCUUCCGCCGAGGUUAGCUGGGCUCUGUGUUCUCAUUGUCCGGCUCUGAGUUGGCCGCUGGGUGGGUGGGAAGGUGAGAUGUGGUUCACAUCCCUGCAACCUGGUGAAGAAAUACGUUCCCGGGGCCAGAAAGCCAAGCGGACGCAUCUGGCCGGGAUGGCCCAGCAGCAUGAAGGUCAGAGUUUGUGCUCCGAGCGGCUUCCCCCUUCUCAGGCUGCAGAGCUUUGGCAAGGUUCUGAGUUAAGCUUAAUUAAAAUUCACUCUUAAUUGGGGCCAUUACUUCAAAUCAACUCUACGUAAUGAAGCUGUGUAAUCAUAAUUAAGCUCCAGAAAUAGAAUUAGGAAGCCAAGCACGGGCGGGCCCGGUGCCAGGGGCGACAGGGAGGGGACUUCUGGAAUCACCGAGUUUUCAGAUAGCCACGGCCGCUGAGUGCGGUGACGGGAGGAACCUCAGCGGCCCCAUCAUCAGGACAAGGAACUCACCAGAAAGAGGGUUUGGGAUACAGGGAACCCCGAGAGGCAAAGCUUGAGCGGCACCAGGCAGAGGGGCCCAAGUGGUGAUGAGAACAGGGUCCCCUCGGGAGGAGGCCCAGGCAAGGGCAAGUCUGCUCUCCAGCAACUGUGUCCCCCGCUGGGAAGUCAGGGCCAAGGGCAGCUGUUUCCAAACAAGGACAUCUCUCUCCCGACUCACGCAGGGCUCUCCUCAGGGGGUUUCCUGGCAGGCAAGUCAGGGGCAAUGCCUCUGCUUGCGUGACCCUCUGCUUGAGGGCACGUGAGGCACUUACCUUUGCAGUUGUUGGCGCUGCCGUUUGGGUGGUAGCUUCUCUUUUCACGCGGGGGAGCAUGUGAAGAUUGGGAGCGUGAGUUUUAAAGUGAGGUGAUCAGAGGUUGAACUCCGGAUGUGCCAAUGACCGGCCACGUGUCUAGGAGAGUAUUUACCCCACUCUCCGUUUCUCCAUCUGUCAUGAGAGAAUUAUAAUGGAAGACGUCUCAAAGGCUAUUCUCACAAUGAUAUAUACACCCAAAGCACUUCGAACACCGGGCCUGACGCACGACAACACUAAUUGUAUAUGGAGGACUCGCUCUGUAGCCAGCAGUGUCCUGCUUCUUACACGUGCUCCCAAGGUGUUGUCACAAUCACCCUGUGGAUAGGUACUAUUAUUUCCUCUGACUUAAGGACAAGGAGUCUAAAGCUCAGAGAGGUGCAGUAACUUGCCCAAGGUCACACAGUAAGUAAGUGGCCAUUAGUAAGAGCUGCACCAAUGGUAAGUAUUAUAAUAAAGGUGCUCUAUGUGCCUAUGCAUUUGAUCUGCUGGUCAGAAUUAGUUAGAUCCACAGUCAACACAUGCCCAGAAGUUCUACACAGGCCCCAAGGGAAGUCACUCAGCCAAGCUUGUCCCAGGUCUGUGGCUCUAACUCAGCCAGAGGAGGCCAGGCAUUUGGGCUCUGAGAGGGUGGAGCUGUGGAUGCUGAUUCCAGAGCUGUGGGGUUGGAGGGAAAGAGACAGUGAGAGAGAGCGUCACCGAGUAUCUGUUUUUUUACUUGGCAUGUCAGUUGUCCUUGCUCAGGAGACCUUGGGAAUCACCCUCAGGAGUGGCGAGGGGAAGUCUAGGCACCUGAGCCAAAGAAGAGCUGUGUCGCCCCCUUGAACCCCCAGUUGUCCAGAGCAUGGCUCAUACUUCUUAUGCCACCUUCAUGAAUGCCCACUGGGUGCCUGGAAUAGAGUUGGGCCACAGUUGGCACCAAAGCCCCAUGAGUCAGAAAUGACCACUCCC